GAUGAACGCUGGCGGCGUGCCUAAUACAUGCAAGUCGAGCGAAUGGAUUAAGAGCUUGCUCUUAUGAAGUUAGCGGCGGACGGGUGAGUAACACGUGGGUAACCUGCCCAUAAGACUGGGAUAACUCCGGGAAACCGGGGCUAAUACCGGAUAACAUUUUGAACCGCAUGGUUCGAAACUGAAAGGCGGCUUCGGCUGUCACUUAUGGAUGGACCCGCGUCGCAUUAGCUAGUUGGUGAGGUAACGGCUCACCAAGGCAACGAUGCGUAGCCGACCUGAGAGGGUGAUAGGCGACAGUGGGACUGGGACACGGCCCAAGCUCCUACGGGAGGGAGCAGUCGGGAAUCUUCCGGAAUGGGCGAAGGUAUGACAGGGGAACGCCGCGGGAGUGAUGAAGGCUUUCGGGUCGUAAAACUCUGUUGUUAUGAAGAACAAGUGCUAGUUGAAUAAGGUGGCACCUUGACGGUACCUAACCAGAAAGCCACGGCUAACUACGUGCCAGCAGCCGCGGUAA
rnacentral:rRNA from 1 species